CGUGCCGAUGAGGCGUCGACUUCCCGGAGCUAACGCGUUAUGUCGACCGCGUGGGGAGUACGGCCCGCAAGGCUAAAACUCAAAUGAAUCGACGGGGGCCCGCACAAGCGGUGGAGCAUGUGGUUUAAUUCGAUGCAACGCGAAGAACCUUACGUACUCUUGACAUCCAGAGAACUUAGCAGAGAUGCUUUGGUGCCUUCGGGAACUCUGAGACAGGUGUUGCAUGGCUGUCGUCAGCUCGUGUUGUGAAAUGUUGGGUUAAGUCCCGCAACGAGCGCAACCCUUAUCCUUUGUUGCCAGCGGUUAGGCCGGGAACUCAAAGGAGACUGCCAGUGAUAAACUGAGGAAGGUGGGGAUGACGUCAAGUCAUCAUGGCCCUUAGGAGUAGGUCUACACACGUGCUGCAAGGGCGCAUUCACAGAGAAUCGACCUCGCGAGAGCAAGCGGCCCUCAUAAAGUGCGUUGUAGUCCGGAUUGGAGUGUGCAACUCGACUCCAUGAAGUCGGAAUCGCUAGUAAUCGUGGAUCAGAACGUCACGGUGAAUACGUUCCCGGACCUUGUACACCCCCCCCGUCACACCAUGGGAGUGGGUUGCAAAAGAAGUAGGUAGCUUAACCUUCGGGAGGCCGCAUCCCACUUCGAGAUUCAGGCCAGCGCGAAGCCGCGACAC
rnacentral:rRNA from 1 species